rnacentral:rRNA from 1 species
CUCAGAUCACGUAAAUUUUUAAUAGUCGAACAGACUAAAACCAUUUAGUGGCUUCACCAAAGUUUCAAUUUAAUUCAACAUCGAGGUCGCAAUCCUAACCAUUAAUAAGAACUUGCUAGCUAAAUAACGCUGUUAACCCUAGAGUAACUUAAAAUCUUUCCUAUUUUAUUUUAUUAAAAAUUACUCUCUUCAAUUAUUGCCCCAAUCAAAAUAUAUCCACAUAUACUUUUUCAUAUUUAUAUAUAAAGCUUCUAGGGUCUUCUCGUCCCAAAGUCCUACAAAAGCAUUUUUACUUCUAAUUAAAGUUCAAAAUUACUAAAUAAAACAAUCCCUCUUAGUUUCUACCUUUCAUCCAAGUUCCCAAUUAAAAAA